rnacentral:rRNA from 1 species
GACGAACGCUGGCGGCGUGCCUAACACAUGCAAGUCGAGCGAGGCCCCUCCUUCGGGUGGGUCUCCUAGCGGCGAACGGGUGAGUAACACGUGGGCAACCUGCCCUCAGCCCUGGGAUAACUCCGGGAAACCGGGGCUAAUACCGGAUACGACCUCCACGGGCAUCUGCGGAGCCGGAGAGUUUUUCGGCUGGGGAUGGGCUCGCGGCCUAUCAGCUUGUUGGUCGGGUAGUGGCCCACCAAGACGACGACGAGCAGCCGGCCUGAGAGGGCGACCGGCCACACUAGGACUGAGACACGGCCCGGACUCCUACGGGAGGCAACGGUGGAGAAUGGUGCACUAUGGGAGAGAGCCUGACGCGGCGAAGCAGCGUGGGGGGCGAGAGGCUUCGGGUAGUAAAGCUCUGUCAGCAGAGACGAAGCGAAAGUGACGGUACCUGCAGAAGAAGCACCGGCCAACUACGUG